UUUCGUUCAAGUUUUCUGCCCUCUCUGUGAAAUAGCUUUAGAGACUCUAUGAGCCAGUUACAUUGGUGGUGCCUUCUUCAGAAGAACCCUGGUGGGACUAUUUCACUGCGAAGCACGUUGGAAGUGACUCGAGUUCAGGAGACAGCAGGGAAGGAGCUGGCAGGAGAGCUGCUUCACCCGUGUUGGUUAUACUUUCCAGUGUAUCUCCUUGCUGUUCACCAUGAGCUGGUGCUGUUGCUCACCCUCUGAUCAGCCAGGCAGGUGCAGAUGUCUGAUGACUUGGAAAGCUGGAAUGGAUGUCAUUAAGAUUUUAACUGUCUAGAAAGUCAUGUAAAUAGGUUGGGUAGACCAUAAAGCCUGGUUAGUAGCAGAGUACAUUUCUACAUUCAGGCUGUCAAUUUUGCCUCUCCUCAGAAAGAGGAGUUCCCUGCCUGACCUUGAUGAAUGCAGGGUGACAGACAACGGAAGCAGGAAGAGCUAUCCUAAAGACAACCUUGGACUGCAGCGAAGACUAUUUCUUCAGAAAACCUGGUGUUCAUUGCAGUUCCUGUGCUCCCAGUAAAUGCACGUGCACGUGCCUGGGAAAAAGGCAGCCGAUCUGUCAGCUGUAACCCAUCAGAUAGAGAGCCUGGUGCUGGGUGCUCUUGUUGGAAUCUUCUAAAGGCAAAGGAGAGGCUGCUGAUGCUUACAUGGAAGAAGGCAGCAGCCUAGGCAUUACUAAGUUAUACACUGAAAAAA